rnacentral:tRNA from 2 species
GGCCCGUUGGUCAAGUGGUUAAGACACCGCCCUUUCACGGCGGUAACACGGGUUCGAA